rnacentral:misc_RNA from 1 species
AAAAUCCCUCUGCACCCCGCGUGUACAUCGGCCGCGUCAAGUCGUGCUCCGCUAUAUACCGCGGUACAUUUUACACAACGCCGUACUCUUCCCGCUAGAGUAAUACCCAUUAUUUGAUAUCGGCUUUCCGUUUGUAUUUACAACAGUGUGCCGACUCCGCUGACGAGCGUAUAGCAUAGUGGACACGUCGCUGAGCAAAAAAAAGGGAUCGAGAUGAAGACGGCUUUGGGCGUAGUUAAAAUGAAAAUGGAACCAAUUUACGGAGACGACGCAUCAGAAUCGGCGACAGUGUCUGCCGUCUGCGCUAAAUGCGAAUGUAAAAUCGUAGAUAGAUACAUAAUGAGAGUGUCCGGUCGGUCUUACCACGAACGAUGCCUCAAGUGCUCGACGUGUGCGUUGAAGCUUGAUCGGUCGUGUUUUGUUUGGAACGCAAAACUCUAUUGCCGUCAGGAUUAUGACAAGUGUGUGUACCGUAGUUGUGGCAGUUGUGGUGAUCAUAUUGCGGCCGGCGAACUGGUAAUGCGAGCGGGCGAAUGUGUGUUCCACGAGCAGUGUUUCGUGUGCGUGGUGUGUGGUAUACGACUGUGCACCGGCGAUCAGUAUGUAAUCAAGCACUCGCAAUUGUUUUGUCGUCCGGACUACGAAAAGGAAGUGAACAUGAUGCGAGACGAAAUCAAUCGAAACACAGGAGAUUGGAAUUACAGUCACGAUGGGCGACGAGGACCCAAGCGUCCCAGAACGAUACUGACUACCCAACAGCGACGGGCUUUUAAAGCAUCAUUUGAACUAAGCCCAAAACCCUGUCGGAAAGUUAGAGAAGGUCUUGCUCACGAUACAGGCUUAAGUGUCCGUAUUGUCCAGGUUUGGUUUCAAAAUCAAAGGGCAAAAAUGAAAAAAAUCCAAAAAAAAGCGAAAUUAAACGGUAACAACCUAGUAAUAACUUCCAAUAGUAUAAACGGGAACAACAACUGUAGCGGCGCCGAGAGUGGUAAUUCGUGUAGUUCAAGUGGACUGCUACAAUCAGCUAUAAAAGACGAACAGUGCAGUUCCGAUGGCUGUGAAGAUGGUAUAUCCGGAAGGUUUGAAACGACUCAACAAGAAUCCCAUCAACAACCUCAACAACAACUCCAUGAACCUUUUCACUUACGACAACAAUCUUCUACCGUUGGAAAGCAAGACUCUAUGUCGUCAUUCUUACAGCAACAAUCUUUCGGCAUAUUCGGUCAAGCAUAAUAUAUUCAAAUACAUUUGUAUGUGAAAUAUCAAUUUUCUGAGCAAUUAAACGCAAGUUAGUUUCAGGAUUUGCUUCAUUUAUGUUUAAAACAAUAUCGUCUAAUUUACUUGGAUAACCGACGAGAGCCGAACUAUUUAACACCAGAUAUGAUGCCUAAACACAUUUAUGGCGGUUUCGUAUCGCAGGAGACGGUU